AUAGGGGAGCCGAAGGGAAACCGAGUCUUAACUGGGCGUUAAGUUGCAGGGUAUAGACCCGAAACCCGGUGAUCUAGCCAUGGGCAGGUUGAAGGUUGGGUAACACUAACUGGAGGACCGAACCGACUAAUGUUGAAAAAUUAGCGGAUGACUUGUGGCUGGGGGUGAAAGGCCAAUCAAACCGGGAGAUAGCUGGUUCUCCCCGAAAGCUAUUUAGGUAGCGCCUCGUGAACUCAUCUUCGGGGGUAGAGCACUGUUUCGGCUAGGGGGUCAUCCCGACUUACCAACCCGAUGCAAACUGCGAAUACCGAAGAAUGUUAUCACGGGAGACACACGGCGGGUGCUAACGUCCGUCGUGAAGAGGGAAACAACCCAGACCGCCAGCUAAGGUCCCAAAGUCACAGUUAAGUGGGAAACGAUGUGGGAAGGCUCAGACAGCCAGGAUGUUGGCUUAGAAGCAGCCAUCAUUUAAAGAAAGCGUAAUAGCUCACUGGUCGAGUCGGCCUGCGCGGAAGAUGUAACGGGGCUAAACUGUGCACCGAAGCUGCGGCAGCGACGCUUAUGCGUUGUUGGGUAGGGGAGCGUUCUGUAAGCCUGCGAAGGUGUCCUGUGAGGGAUGCUGGAGGUAUCAGAAGUGCGAAUGCUGACAUAAGUAACGAUAAUGCGGGUGAAAAGCCCGCUCGCCGGAAGACCAAGGGUUCCUGUCCAACGUUAAUCGGGGCAGGGUGAGUCGACCCCUAAGGCGAGGCCGAAAGGCGUAGUCGAUGGGAAACGGGUUAAUAUUCCCGUACUUGGUGUUACUGCGAAGGGGGGACGGAGAAGGCUAUGUUGGCCGGGCGACGGUUGUCCCGGUUUAAGCGUGUAGGCUGGUUUUCCAGGCAAAUCCGGAAAAU
rnacentral:rRNA from 1 species